rnacentral:rRNA from 1 species
UGCUGGAGGUAUCAGAAGUGCGAAUGCUGACAUAAGUAACGAUAAAGCGGGUGAAAAGCCCGCUCGCCGGAAGACCAAGGGUUCCUGUCCAACGUUAAUCGGGGCAGGGUGAGUCGACCCCUAAGGCGAGGCCGAAAGGCGUAGUCGAUGGGAAACGGGUUAAUAUUCCCGUACUUGGUGUUACUGCGAAGGGGGGACGGAGAAGGCUAUGUUGGCCGGGCGACGGUUGUCCCGGUUUAAGCGUGUAGGUGUGUGUUCCAGGUAAAUCCGGUUCACUUUAACACUGAGGCGUGACGACGAGGCACUACGGUGCUGAAGCAACAAAUGCCCUGCUUCCAGGAAAAGCCUCUAAGCAUCAGGUAACACGAAAUCGUACCCCAAACCGACACAGGUGGUCAGGUAGAGAAUACCAAGGCGCUUGAGAGAACUCGGGUGAAGGAACUAGGCAAAAUGGUGCCGUAACUUCGGGAGAAGGCACGCUGACACGUAGGUGAAGUGAUUUACUCAUGGAGCUGAAGUCAGUCGAAGAUACCAGCUGGCUGCAACUGUUUAUUAAAAACACAGCACUGUGCAAACACGAAAGUGGACGUAUACGGUGUGACGCCUGCCCGGUGCCGGAAGGUUAAUUGAUGGGGUCAGCGCAAGCGAAGCUCCUGAUCGAAGCCCCGGUAAACGGCGGCCGUAACUAUAACGGUCCUAAGGUAGCGAAAUUCCUUGUCGGGUAAGUUCCGACCUGCACGAAUGGCGUAAUGAUGGCCAGGCUGUCCCCACCCGAGACUCAGUGAAAUUGAACUCGCUGUGAAGAUGCAGUGUACCCGCGGCAAGACGGAAAGACCCCGUGAACCUUUACUAUAGCUUGACACUGAACAUUGAGCCUUGAUGUGUAGGAUAGGUGGGAGGCUUUGAAGUGUGGACGCCAGUCUGCAUGGAGCCGACCUUGAAAUACCACCCUUUAAUGUUUGAUGUUCUAACGUGGACCCGUAAUCCGGGUUGCGGACAGUGUCUGGUGGGUAGUUUGACUGGGGCGGUCUCCUCCUAAAGAGUAACGGAGGAGCACGAAGGUUGGCUAAUCCUGGUCGGACAUCAGGAGGUUAGUGCAAUGGCAUAAGCCAGCUUGACUGCGAGCGUGACGGCGCGAGCAGGUGCGAAAGCAGGUCAUAGUGAUCCGGUGGUUCUGAAUGGAAGGGCCAUCGCUCAACGGAUAAAAGGUACUCCGGGGAUAACAGGCUGAUACCGCCCAAGAGUUCAUAUCGACGGCGGUGUUUGGCACCUCGAUGUCGGCUCAUCACAUCCUGGGGCUGAAGUAGGUCCCAAGGGUAUGGCUGUUCGCCAUUUAAAGUGGUACGCGAGCUGGGUUUAGAACGUCGUGAGACAGUUCGGUCCCUAUCUGCCGUGGGCGCUGGAGAACUGAGGGGGGCUGCUCCUAGUACGAGAGGACCGGAGUGGACGCAUCACUGGUGUUCGGGUUGUCAUGCCAAUGGCACUGCCCGGUAGCUAAAUGCGGAAGAGAUAAGUGCUGAAAGCAUCUAAGCACGAAACUUGCCCCGAGAUGAGUUCUCCCUGAGACUUAGAGUCUCCUGAAGGAACGUUGAAGACGACGACGUUGAUAGGCCGGGUGUGUAAGCGCAGCGAUGCGUUGAGCUAACCGGUACUAAUGAACCGUGAGGCUUAACCUU